CGUCCCUCUACAAACGCUCCAAUGUCAUCUACACCCCUCUGAGGCACCUGUCCUCGGAACCCAACCUGACCCCGAGCCCGAGAUCAGACCCCAGACACCGAGCACAGAAAAGGCAGGUGCGCUCGUGCGUGACUACACCCUCGCAGGAUUGGUCAGGGGUCAAAGGUCGCUCCACACCACUGCAGACUCCCCGUAAGAGACCCCAGACCGCCGGCACAGGAAGGACUGCUGCUUGCAAGGUGAGCACCCCCAGUUCUCUAGCCCGGGGCGACUCCUGCACCCCUCAUCGUCAUCAUCCUCCUCCUCCUCCUUCGCCACCCCUUCGCAUGUUCCCGCUCUCCCCCGGCGGCGGCAAGCGCCCGGCCCGCCACGUGGACUUCGAGUCGCCGCCGACCGCCCACCACAACCCGCUGGACCCGUACCGCCAGCACACCGGCUUCCGGCUCCGCACCGACACGCAGCUGGAGGAGUACGUGCGGGAGCAGACCCAGAUGGCGCGCCGCGAGAACGCCAGGGCGCAGGCGGAGGAGGCCGAGAGGGUCAGGCCGGGCGCCCACAACCCCCGCCGGCGGAAGACGACGGUGUGGGGGGUGAGGGCGAAGGGGCUGCCCUGCAAGGACUUCACCAAGGAGGGGCAGGUGUACGCGCCCGAGCUGGGCCCGGAUGUUUACAUCUGAGGGGGGGGGGCGUCUCUGCAGCGAGGGAUGAUGGGGAAAAAUGAGAAGAUGAGAGACGACGAAACACCAAGAGACUGGAAUGUGUGUGAGAUUAUUUUGGUCUCACUUACACACAUACACACAUACACACAUACACACACACACACACACACACACACACACACUUCCAUGUACACGCACACACACAUACUUUCAUGUACACACAUGCACACUCAUGUACACACACAAACACACACAUGCACACACACUUUCAUGUACACACACAAACAUGCACAUGCACACACACACACACACUCUGUCAUGUACACGCACAAACACACAUUUGCAGUACAGCUCAACCAAGCCAACCAGCCCGAGACAAAUACCUUGAGAUUUAAAUUUUUGUUUUCUCUCUUGUUCUGCAAAUCUGUUUCCC
ensembl:lncRNA